rnacentral:lncRNA from 1 species
GAGGAAACCACUCUACCUGGCAGAGCUGUCUCCCUCCUCCAGCUCCCCAAGAACUCACAGGAAAACCAUGCUGUCUGCUCUGGUGGAAUAGAACAGACAAUCUCUUGUGCCCAAUUAUGUCAUAUUUAGUUUCCUGAGCAGAAUCUUAUGUCGAUUUCAUGUCAUCUGAUUCUGUCUCUCUCUUCACUGAUGCUCAUCACUGGGUUUCCAGGUCUGCAAUGGGACCAGGGCCAUGGUUUCACUUCCAUUCGACCCAGCUGGCUGCUUGUUACUGGAGACAAUGAUCCUGAUUUAAAAAAUUCUUUCAAGCUGACAAAAACAUACAAAAGUCAACAUGCAUCUCAGCUCAUGGGAUCAUAUCUCUGCAGGUCAACCAGCAGCUGCCAGUUUUCCAAAUGAAAUUCAGACCAAAGCCAGAUAAGACAUCCUGUCACAGGCCAUGUGUCCCUCACCUUUGCAAAGCGUCAGUUCAUGCUAUUUGCCUGUUGAGUUAUUAAAAUCGCUUGUCCACUUAAAAUAUUUGCAUUUAUUAUUUCUAAUAUUAUAUGGAUCACAAAUGUUUAAUCUGUAGUCCUUUGUUAGCAACAAUUAACACAAAUUAAAUGCAAUGCCAUGAUGGAUAGAGAUUGUUUAUUAACAAUGAGAAAUGAUUAUAUGUCAUCUUACUUUUGUUACUGAGAAGAAGUUCUAGAUUUUUUGUGAGGGUAGGAGUUUGAAAAGCCCAAGGGGACCCUGACUCUCCAACUCUUAUGGUAGUCACCUUAAAUAUUUAAUAUUGAGCUUAGAAGUGUGUGUUUCGCAUAGUCUGCUUUUAUAACUUUUAGUACAUUUGAAAAUGGCUCAUACUACAGAAAGCUAAGAAAUUUAGAAUCUAGCAUGUAGAAAUGAGUUUCCUACCUUCAAUACAUUCUUUUCUUCCAUUCCAAGAUAAAUGGCAAAAGUAACCUCCACAGCACGGCUAAUGGUUUUCCUGUUAAACUGUCUGGCUAGACUUUCACUUCCAGGCAGCGUGCUAGAAUAUAUCUGGUAGAGCAUAGAGAUACUCUGAAGCUCCAUCCUGAUGAAUAGCUAGAGCCCACAUAAAAUGUAUCUUUGCUGCAUUUUUGGAUUUCCAAGAAGUGAGGAAAAUUUCAACUGCUUUUUGAAAAGGUGAAACGGGAGCCUGUAGUGAAAACAAAAUGAAGAGCCUGUUUCAGAUGUGCAUCCUGGAGGUCUGACCAUGUCACCUUCCUUCCCAUCUCCAACUGUUUGGCAUCAUCUUUUGACAUCUGGACAAGUCUAGCUUCCGUGGGUCUUGGGAGACAGGGAUAGAUGUUGAAGCUGGAGGCUGGAAGGGAGUCUGAUGAUGCUGUUUUGAUAGAACCAUUUGCUCAGACCCAGGAGACAGGUUUCCUAUCCUUAGAAACUCUUGCUCCAAGAACUUAGAGGAACAUCCAGAAGAGGAAAA